GCGGGUGUAGCUCAACGGUAGAGCACCAGCUUCCCAAGCUGGGGGUUGCGAGUUCGAGCCUCGUCGCCCGCUCCA
rnacentral:tRNA from 1 species